GAUGAACGCUCGCUACAGGCUUAACACAUGCAAGUCGAGGGGAAACGGCAUUGAGUGCUUGCACUCUUUGGACGUCGACCGGCGCACGGGGGAGUAACGCGUAUCCAACCUUCCCAUUACUGUGGGAUAACCUGCCGAAAGGCAGACUAAUACCGCAUAGUCUUCGAUGACGGCAUCAGAUUUGAAGUAAAGAUUUAUCGGUAAUGGAUGGGGAUGCGUCUGAUUAGCUUGUUGGCGGGGUAACGGCCCACCAAGGCGACGAUCAGUAGGGGUUCUGAGAGGAAGGUCCCCCACAUUGGAACUGAGACACGGUCCAAACUCCUACGGGAGGCAGCAGUGAGGAAUAUUGGUCAAUGGACGGAAGUCUGAACCAGCCAAGUAGCGUGCAGGAUGACGGCCCUAUGGGUUGUAAACUGCUUUUGUAUGGGGAUAAAGUUAGGGACGUGUCCCUAUUUGCAGGUACCAUACGAAUAAGGACCGGCUAAUUCCGUG
rnacentral:rRNA from 1 species